GUGCAAUAUAGAUGGGUUUCCACACCUAUCCGCGGGCUAUCAUCGGCCUAAAUAGGUUGCACAAGAUCGAAGAAGCACAACUAGUCCAUGGGAAGAAAAGCAUUGGGACGAAAAUAAAAACUGAGUCCGGGCAUUUUCGAGCGGUUCGUGUGGGAAAAAACCUUGAUAUUACUCAGAGUGAGGCCUCCUAGUAGUUAUAUGUGAAUUUUCGGGACGGUUCUCACAUGGUUAAAAAUCGGCCGAUUUUCGGUAUGGUAAAGCCUUGGCCAUUUUUGGACCGUUUUUUGCGCAACCGUUGUGCACCCCGAACGAGCCCCACCCGACCCCUAGGCCCUGGGCUUUUUUAUGUGUCAUAAUGGGUGCAAUAUAGAUGGGUUUCCACACCUAUCCGCGGGCUAUCAUCGGCCUAAAUAGGUUGCACAAGAUCAAAGAAACAAAACUAGUCCAUGGGAAGAAAAGCAUUGGGACGAAAAUAAAAACUGAGUCUGGGCAUCUCCGAGCGGUUCUUGUGGGAGAAAACUUUAAUAUUACUCAGAGUGAGGCCUCCUAGUAGUUAUCUGUGAAUUUUCGGGACGUUUCUCACAUGGUUAAAAAUCGGCCGAUUUUCGGUAUGGUAAAGCCUUGGCCAUUUUUGACCGUUUUUUUGCGCGAACCGUUGUGCACCCCGAACGAGCCUCACCCGACCCCUAGGCCCUGGGCUUUUUUUAUGUGUCAUACUGGGUGCAAUAUAGAUGGGUUUCCACACCUAUCCGCGGGCUAUCAUCGGCGUUAAAAAUAGGUUGCACAAGAUCAAAGAAACACAACUAGUCCAUGGGAAGAAAAGUAUUGGGACGAAAAUAAAAACUCAGUCUGGGCAUCUCCGAGCGGUUCUUGUGGGAGAAAACUUUAAUAUUGCUCAGAAUGAGGCCUCCUAGUAGUUAUGUGUGAAUUUUCGAGACGUUUCUCACAUGGUUAAAAAUCGGCCGAUUUUCGGUAUGGUAAAGCCUUGGCCAUUUUUGGACCGUUUUUUGGCGCAACCGUUGUGCACCCGAACGAGCCCCACCCGACCCCUAGGCCCUGGGCUUUUUUUCUGGCGUCAUACUGGGUUCAAUAUAGAUGGUUUUCCACACCCAUCCCGCGGCUAUCAUCGCCUAAAUAGGUUGCACAAGAUCAAAGAAACAAAACUAGUCCAUGGGAAGAAAAGCAUUGGGACGAAAAUAAAAACUGAGUCUGGGCAUCUCCGAGCGGUUCUUGUGGGAGAAAACUUUAAUAUUACUCAGAGUGAGGCCUCCUAGUAGUUAUCUGUGAAUUUUCGAGACGUUUCUCACAUGGUUAAAAAUCGGCCGAUUUUCGGUAUGGUAAAGCCUUCGCCAUUUUUGGACCGUUUUCGGCGCAACCAUUGUGCACCACGAACGAGCCCCACCCGACCCCUAGGCCCUGGGCUUUUUUUCUGUGUCAUACAGGGUGCAAUGUAGAUGGGUUUCCACAC
rnacentral:lncRNA from 1 species